GCUGCAUGGCCUACCCAUAGCGGCGGUGGGAGCCUCCGCCGGGGAGAGCCCGCUCGGGGGCAGGAAGUGGCCCGGCCCUCCUCGUGGAGGGCGUUUCCGGAGCGCCUACUGUGCUCCUUGCCGGGGUGGGGGUCGUUACCGAGUGGGAACUUCUGCAAAUCCUGACUUUUGUCACUUCGCGCCCCGCACAAGAUGUCCUGCCGGCGGUGCGAUUGGUCCCGUUGCUUCGAGGGGAAACUGAGGCCACUUAGUCCGGGCACUUACCCGCAGCUAGUUAAGGACUAGGCUCUGAUGGAGACGCUUGUUACGACCUCAAUGGCCUGUAGAAUCUGGGAGGCCGCCUCCGACCUAAGCCCAAAAAGCACAUGAUCGGGCUCACAGGGGGCGGCCAGAGGUGAAAACAGCCAACGCUUUACAACGACGCUGUGCGGGGCACUUCGUGUGUGUCAUCCCGUCUCAUCCUCGGGUGAUAGGAACUGUUCAUUCGGGAAAAUUGCAAACAACUAAAUACCCCUCACCAGGAGCUGGCCCAUUAUAGCAACUCUGAGACCUCUCUACCGCAGGCUCUUAAAAUGGGACACCGCCGCCCGCCCCUCGGGCACCGGACACAGGCGCGGCUGAGGACUGACGGCCCCCUGGAAGCCACUCGGGAGUCCUAGAUUUUGCUGAAGGAAGAAGGGGCUGGAGAAAAUAAAAGGGCAGGAGUCUGGAGUGUGAUAACUGUGGCUUCGUCUCAUUUCCACCCGCCAAGACUAAAACUUCCCUCAUCUGCUCAGCGGGAAGAAACAGAAGUUCUUGGCCAUGGUGUGACAGUGACACCGAGAGAAGCCCGAUUCACUCCCAG
rnacentral:lncRNA from 1 species